UGAUUUUUAUCUUAUUUUAUAUUUUGGUUAUCAUUUAUCUUUUCAGUAACUAAUUACCUUUAAAAAAGUUACUUAAUAGUAAAAUGCCACCAAAAAAGUAGUUGAAGCUUAGUCAAAAUAAGGCUGAAGUAUUUCUGGUAAAGAAAGUUAGAGAAAAUCUUUCAUGUUCUAAACUUCCUACUGGUAUUGAGGUUUUGCAAUACUACCUAUAUCUAAGAAACUUGAAUCCCAAAGUAAAGAAAACAGUUUAGGUGUCAUUUCAAAAUUAAUUCAUUUGAGCUCAGAUGCCCUCCACAAGCUGACUAUUAUGUAAUGUCUAAAUUGGUAAGAUCAUGGAAUCUUGCAGGAUUACCUAUCAUAACCUUUGAAAAUAUCAGGUAAAUUCUGAAUUCAAAAUUUAUCGACAAAUUUAUUUUUAUCUUUAUUAUAAAUAUUGAAUAAAUUUUGCAUUUUAAAGAAAGAAGAUUGAUAAAAUGGUGAACAACUAUUACAAGUUAAAGAAGAAUAACAAAAGGGACGGGCCAACAGAUACAAAAAGGAAUGAAGAAUUUUUUGAAGAAAUGUUAAAAUUCUUUUGGAUUAGUAAAAAAAAGAAGAACUUAUUGAAGAUAUUAUGAAAGACAGGACCACAAAAAGUUGUGUUCCAUGUUAAACAUGGAAAUUAAACUAAACAAUGGUAGCAAUCUAUAAGGUUUAGACUCUUCAAGUAGUGAUAAUAAUUCUGACUGUGAAUAUGUAGCAGAUAUUAAAAAAGGAUCUAAAAAUCUACCUCUGUUGUUUUGUUACCAAAAAAUAUUUAAAAAAAAACCAGCUCUCACCGCAAUAGGUGAGGGAGUUUCAAUUAGGCAACACACUGCAAUAGUGGCAAGUGUUAUUGCUAAUUCAGGAGGUGAUGUUACUAAUUUUGCAAUAUCUUCUUCAACUGCGUUUAGAGUUGCAGAGGAAGUUGUAACUAAAGAAGGAGAAAAGAUUAAAAAACACAUUACUGAUCUACAUCACCAAUUAUUCUCCAGAGUGAGCUUCUUGGGAUUCCUCAUUUGAACUCUUGUACCAGAGAAACACAGAAGAAUACAAUCAUAAAACUUUUUCAUCAAUUUAAUAUUUUAGAUAAAUUACAAGAAUGCAUUUUUGAUACAACUUCUAUAAAUACUGGUAAUAAAAAGGGUGUGUGCAUUAGAUUAGCUGCAGAGCUUGAUAGACCUCUACUUCUGCUAGCAUGUAGACAUCACAUCUAUGAAAGGUAUAAUACUCACUGUUGGAACAUUUAUCCAAGUAGUAGAACAAUUGGCCCAGAUAAUCCAUUGUUUAAGAAGCUUAAAGAAUGGAACUCAAUGGUCAAAAUUCCAGCUUAAAGUAUGGAACUCAAUUGAUCAAAAUUCCAUUGUGUUAAACAAAAUAAAAAUUAAAGAUAUUUCUGAUAGCUGGCUGCAGGUACAGUUUAAGGAAGCCUUAUCUUUUUCUCAAAAUAUUAUCAGAAUGAAAACAAUGAAAAAAGUAUUUAAAGUUUUGAAUAAAUUGAAUAUCUGUAAUAAAUUAAGUUAAGUAAGCUACUGUUUUGUCUCUAAAUAAAUAGUCUUAUUUGGAUGGAUGUAGGUCUGAUUAUCUAGAGUUAAUUGAAUUGACAGCAAUAGUUUUAUCUGGUGAUGAACAUUACAGGCUAAGAAAAACCUGGGCCUGUACACCAUGCCAGUUUUAUGGCAAAAGGAAUAUACUUUCUGAAAAUGUAUCUCUUUCUAGACAACAUUUCUAGCUUGACAGAUUUCAAGAAGAAAUAAAUAAAUGAUAUGGCAUUUUUCACAGCUGUAUUUUACAAUGAGUGGUUUAUAAAGGCUGAAAUUCUGGCUGUUGCUCCAUAUUAUAUUUCUAUGUUUUAAACGUUUUUAAUCUUUUUGGUUUUUAUUACUUUUUUUUCUUUGAAAAUUUUGUGUAAUAUUUAAUAGUCUAAAAAUCUUUAGGAUAUGUAAGCUCUUGGUGGCAAAUGGUGAGAUACUCAAAAAUCAAAUCUGUCCAAGCAAAACCUGUUAUAGAGUCUCUCAAGAGACACACCUGAUACAUAGACCCAAUUAUUUUAGUUAUGUCUCUUGUUGACAAAAAUGUUCAUAAACUGGGUGACAUUGUCAAGAAGUUGUACUCCUCAAGAUCUACAACUUAUGCCAUAGAGAGACAUCAAGUUAAUUUAAGUAUACUGAACUCCCUUAUGUUUAAUGAUAAUAAUCCCCCAAAUUUGACCCUGCUUCUAACUGACCAGAGUUGGUUAAUUUUUCAUAUUUUAAACCAUGCAAAUGCUGAAGUACAGUGGCUUAAGGCUCCAUCUGAGACAUGGGAUCUAAAUGACUUUUACCUAGAAUUCAAAAAAAUUUGUGAAUAAUCUUGAAUUAGUUAAUGACUGUAGUGAGAGUGCUAUAAAACUAGUUCAAGUAUCUAUUUUUUAUGUUUAAUCUUUACUGUUUAUUUUAAAAGUCUCAUUUUAUUUCACAAGCUCAUUACUUUUAAAUAUUCUUUAAUAGGAGUUGAUCAAUAAAUCGCACUAUGAGGAUAAAAGACAAAAUACCUUCCUAUAAGAGUAAACAAACAGUUAAAAAAAAAAACUGUUUACGUAAAGAAUUCUUUGUUUACAAAAUAAAUUUAUAAACAACUAUAUUAGACAACUAAUUACUUCAGAAACUAAUCAUAAAUAUGAUUUUAUUAUGUAAAUAUAAAUAUUUUAAUAUAUAAAGUAUCUUGUUAACAAGCAGAACACUAAUAUAGUGCAAAAAAGCUUUAAAAUUCUUUAAAUAACUUUUUUUAAAUUUUUUGAUCUUGAAAUUGUUUAAGUUAUAAAAAAAAAAAUUAAGCCUAACAUUCUAUUUUUAUUUUCUUCAAAAAGAUAAAACAACAAAAAAAAGAAAUAAAAAUUAAUUUGGAUAAUGGUGACACUCCCCUCAAUUAGUCCGAAGUGUGGGCAAAAAAUGACCUUUGGACCCAUUGAGCGAAGUCAUGGAGUGAUCUAUUCAUGAAAAAAAAAAAAAAAAUGUAAAUAAACACUCUAGAAUUGCUGUUUCCAUCAGGAUCGAUGGGCAGACAGAGCUUCUUGGUAUUCCUCAUUUAAACUCUUGCACUGGAGAAACACAGAAAAAUGCAAUCAACUUCUUCAUCAAUUUUGUAUUUCUGAUAAAUUGCAAGGAUGCGUUUUUGAUACCACUUAUGUAAAUACUGGUAACAAAAAAGGUGUGUGCAUUAGGUUAGCCGCAGAACUUGACAGACCUCUACUUCUCAGCUUGUAGACAUCACAUCUAUGAGAGGCAUAUUAUUCACUGCUGGAACAUUUGUCCAAGCAGUAAAACAAAUGGUCCAGAUAAUCCUUUGUUUAAGAAACUCAAAGAAGUUUGGAACUCAAUAAAUCAAAAUGCCAUUGUGCUAAAAAAAGUAAAAAUUGAAGAUAUUUCUGAAAGGUGGCUACAGAAACAAAUCAAGGAAGCCUUAUCUUUUUCUCAAAAUAUUAUCAGGAUGAAAACAAUGAAAAAGGAUGGAUGUAGGUGUGAUUAUCUGGAGUUAGCAGAGUUAACAACAAUGGUUUUAUCUGGAGGUGAACAGUACAGAAUAAGAAACCCUGGGCCUGUUCAUCAUGCCAGAUUUAUGUCAAAGGGAAUAUACUUUCUGAAAAUGUAUCUCCUUCUAGACAACAUUCCUAGCUUGACAGAUUUUGAGAGGAAAGAAGUAAACGAUAUGGUAUUUUUCACAGCUGUAUUUUACACUGAGUAGUUUAUAAGAGCUGAAAUCCCAGCCAUUGCUCCAUAUCAGGAUAUGAAAGCUCUUUGGCAAAUGAUGAUAUACUCAAAAUUCAAUCUUGACCAGGCAAAUCCUGUUAUUGAAUCUCUGAAGAGACACACCUGGUACAUAGACCCAUUUAUUGUUGUUAUGUUUCUUGCUGACAAAAAUGUACAAGAGUGGAGUGACAUUGCCAAGAAGCUGUACUCUACCCCAAGGCCUACAACUUAUGCCAAAGAAAAACAAAAAGUUGAUUUGAAUUUAUUAAACUCCCUUGUGUAUAGUGAUGAUACUCCCCUAGUCUGACCCCACUUAUAACUGACCAGAGUUGGUUAAUUUUUUAUAUGCUAAACUAUGCAAAUGCUGAGGUACAAUGGCUUAAGACUCCGAUUGAGACAUGGGAUCUAAAUGACUAUUUCCUAAAAUUUAAACAAUUUGUGAAUAAUCUUGAGGUAGUAAAUGACUGCAAUGAGAGGGCUAAAAAACUAGUUCAGGAAUUAAUCAAUAAAUCACACAGUGAGGAAAAAAGACAAAAUACCUUCCUUGUAUCAAACAAAUAUAAGAGCGGAAGAAGAAUUAAAAAAAAAGCUGAUUAUGCAAAGAACACUUUUACUUAAAAAUAAAUUUAUAAGUUAUCAAAAAUUACUUCAGAAACAUUAUAAAUAUAAGUUUAAAAUAUUUCAAUAUGUAAAGUUUCUUUAGCAAACAGAAUAAAA